CCGAAGAUCGCGGGUUCGAACCCCGUCCGUGCCUCAGGGAUUCAAACGCAAUUAUUUUGAAACCCGGCGAAGCCAGCCAGUUUCUCAGAACGUUAAUUCCCAGGCCUCAGCGUACAGACGUCCAUCCAUUUAUUAAUUGGCAGUAAGGCAUUCACAGUAGAACAAAGAAAUACAAUAGAAUCAUUGAAGAACUACACACAAGGACUGACAAACUCCAACGGCGUAUGCAGUGUUCAUGCCAUUGGGCUGUAGAGACUCCCCUGGAGGAAUAUAAGGUUAAUAGUUCAACGAGUCGCGGAGUUACACGGCACAGAAAUAGUUCCUUCCACAAGACAUAGG